CCUGCAGUGAAACACAAGGACUUGCUCACAUUUCUCAGCAGUGUCCUGCUAGGACAGCCUUUGGACAGUGCUGGCAAAACUGGAUGAAACCCCUUAGGACUUCCUGAUGGGAUGAAACCUUUUGUGUCUUCAUGACAUGCUUUAGUGCAAAGAAGGGAAAUGAUUCAAGCAAGUGUCUGGCCAGGGCAAACUUUCUAAUGGCUUCCUCAAGGUCUUAUUUUCUUUCUGGGCCUGCUCUGAAACUGUCAGGGAAGAGUUUCUUCCCUGAAAGAAGUGCUCAGCACUAGAGAUCCCAAAGGACAUUUACAGCGACUCAAUCCCAUUAGGAGGUGUUGAUGUGGUGUUUCACCAGGUAUGAAGGCAGGCUUAAGUCCAGGGUUUGAAAUGAACUAAUCAGCCUCAUUUAGUGGGCUGAUUCACAUCUAAUGUUGGAUACAGACUUUCCAGCUGGUUUUAUUGUCAGUAGUCUUAGCCUACUUUUUCUCAGCUUUCUGGAAAAGUUGGUCUCUGGUUCCAAGCCUUGCAGCUGGGGCUUAUUUCCACAUGGUCUAUAGAGUAAGUCAUCCUCCAGGAGCAUGUUCUGUGCCUGCUUGAGAGGGUAGGAGACUAAUAACAGGUGUAAGGCUUUCCACCUUAGAUAAAAUCUCAUCCCAGCUGGGAGGAUUUUACAGCCACAUGGAGGACUUACACUAAUGGAUUCAGGCAGGGAAAAGGAAGCUGCUGGUCAGCUUAUCUCACCAGCUGGUGACAAGCAGGAGGGCAGGUUAGAGGCAGUCGAACUCACCGCUGCAGCUGCUCAGCUUUUCGGUGUUGGCUCCUAUUUCUGGGAUGAUGGAAAGAUCAGAAGGGUUUCCCGUCUGAACCAAGAGGCUGUGAGGUCUGCUUCUUCCUGCAAAAAAUGUCUUCAUGUCUUGGUACGAGUUGAGGAACACGCUGGCAGCUCCGCAGGAGCAAUGCUGCAUGAGGUACUCCUACACCAGACAAGAAAGAAGAAAGCAUGCAGACUUUCAGGCUGCAGCAGCUCAAGGUAAUGGGCAAUGCAAUGGCUCAGACAAAUUGCAAGUAUCCCAGCUCAGCCUUGUCCCAAGACCCAGACAAGCAAUUUUACUCCCUAAAAAACUGAGCAGCCUGGAGGCAGUAAUGCAAGAGUUUUCAUGGGUUCGUUGGUGUUUGCCUUGAAUUGCCUGGUACUACUCGGCAUCUUUUGGGUUUGUUUCCCAGAAAAAGCUGAAGACAAGUUUCUGAACACAUAGCUGCUCAGCUGAGGCAAUUGUGUAAAUAAACAAAUCGAUUAUAACAGUGACUCACAUUUUAUGAUAAUGUUAUUUGAUUUGGAACACGCACAGACAACAGUAUCUUGUAUUUUUAUUGAUGGGAGGUCAUAGUUUGCUUAUGUGUUAUCAAACACUCACUGUAUGUGGUACUUUAGCUGGUGUACUUCUGUAGCUGAUGUGGUGGAAAGGGGAGAUUUUCAGAUUUGCAUGAUCAUGUUGUGCAAGAGUUUAGGAGGGCAGGAAGCAAAGAACAGCUUUGUACAGUCAAAGUGGAAAGAGAAUCACACUGUGUUGGAACUUGGACAAGCCAACACCAGUUUAGACCCACAAGUGAUUGACAGAUUUAAUGUAAUAUGUCAUUUGGAUAAGUUGCCACAGCAGCAUGGCACUUUGCA